CAAAUACUCCCUCUGUCCGGAAAUACUUGUCAUCAAAAUGGAUAAAAGGAAAUGUAUCUAGACGUAUUUUAAUUUUAGAUACAUCUCUUUUUAUCCAUUUUGAUGACAAGUAUUUUCGGACGGAGGGAGUAGAAA
rnacentral:pre_miRNA from 1 species